ACCUCGGUGCGUCAUAUGUGGUGGAGAGCACCGAGUGUCGACUUGCCCGCAGCGCGAUGGCAAGUGUUUCAAGUGUGGCCAACCGGGACAUCUUAUUCGGGAGUGCCCGAGCUGGACGUCGUCUGCGCCGACGGCGGCAUCAGCACCGACUACCCCGAGACAGCUUGCGGGGUUACCACCAGUGAUGUCGGCUGGGCGCGCAUCAUCACCGCGUCAGCCGGAGGGAUCGAGAGCGCCUAGCGGCCGAGUCUUUGCCGCUCAGGUGGAAGAGCAACCUGCAACACCCGACGAUGUCGUGGCAGGUAUAAUUGUGAUUAAAGGCACUAGAGCUAGAGCUUUAUUCGAUACUGGUGCAUCUCAUUCGUUCAUUGGUGCAUCUUUUGCAAAAACUCAUUGUAAGGAAGUGAAUUCUCGAAAUACGAGAGUUAGACUUUGUAACACACUGGACCUUUGCAAAUUGCGAGGUUCGAGUGUUU
rnacentral:lncRNA from 1 species